rfam:Capsicum annuum cultivar Zunla-1 chromosome 8, whole genome shotgun sequence
CUCAUGGAGAGUUCCAUCCUGGCUCAGGAUGAAUGCUAGCGGUAUGUUUAACACAUGUAAGUUGGAUGGGAAACAUGAGAAAUGGUGUUUUCAGUGGAGGACGGGUGAUUAAUGGUAAGAACAUUCCCUUGGGAGGGGAACAACAGUUGGAAAUAGCUGCUAUUACCCCGUAGGCUGAGAAGCAAAAGGAGGAAUCUGCCCGAGGAGGGGCUCGCAUCUGAUUAGUUAGUUGGUGGGGCAAUAUCUUACCAAGGCGAUGAUCAGUAGAUGGUCUAAAAGGAUGAUCAGCUAUACUGGGACUGAGACAUGACCCAGAAUCUUAUGGGAGGCAGCAGUGGGGAAUUUUUCGCUAUGGGCAAAAGCCUGUCGGAGCAAUUCUGCAUGGAGGUAUAAUGUCCACGGGUCAUGAACUUCUUUUCCUAGAGACAAAGCACUGAUGGUAUCUGGGGAAUAAGUAUUGGCUAACUCUAUGCCAGUAUCCAUGGUAAUACAGAGUAUGCAAGCAUUAUCAGGAAUCAUUGGGCGUAAAGCGUCUGUAGGUGGCUUUUUAAGUCCGCCAUCAAAUCCCAAGAUUCAACGCUGGACAGACGGUGGAAACUACCAAGCUGGAGUUUGGUAGGGGGUAGAGGGAAAUUUUGGUGGAGCAGUGAAAUAUGUAGAGAUCGGAAAGAACACUAACGGCAAAAGUACUCUACUGGGCCGACACUCACACUGAGAGACGAAACCUAAGGAAGCGAAUGAGUUAGAUACCCUAGUAGUCCUAACCAUAAAAAAUGACAACUAGGCUCUAUGCAUAUUGGCCCAUGUAGUACUGUAGUUAACACGUUAAGUAUCCCACCUGGGGAGUACAUUCGCAAGAAUGAAACUCAAAGGAAUUGACGGCGACCCAUACAAGUAGUGGAGCAUGUGGUUUAAUUUGAUAUAAAGCAAAGAACCUUACCAGGGCUUGAAAUAUUGUGAAUUCUCUUGAAAGAAAAGGGUACCUUAAAGAAUGCAGACACAGGUGGUGCAUGGUUGUCGUUAGCUCGUGCUAUAAGGUGUUGGGUUAAGUCACUCAACAACCACAACCCUCAUGUUUAGUUACCAUCAUUGAGUUUGGAACCCUGAACAAACUGCCGAUGAUAAGCCAGAAGAAGGUGAGGCUGAUUUGAAGUCAUUAUGCCCCUUAUUCCUUGGGCAAUAUGCGUGCUAUAAUGGUUGGAACAAAGGGUAGCAAUCUCAUAAGGGUGAGCUAACCGCCAAAACUCAUCCUCAGUUUGGAUAGGAGACCAUAACUCGCUUUUAUGAAGCCAAAAUCGCUAGUAAUCGUUAGUCAGCCAUACGGUGAUAAAUUCAUUAUCGGGCCUUUUACACACCGCCCAUUACACUAUGGGAGUUGGCCAUGCCCGAAGUCGUUACCUUAACUACAAGGAGGGUGAUGCCGAAGGCAGGGCUAGUGACUGGAGUGAAGUCAUAGCAAGGUAGCCAUACUGGAAGGCGUGGUUGGAUCACCUCCUUU